GACGAACGCUGGCGGCGUGCUUAACACAUGCAAGUCGAACGGAAAGGCCCUGCUUUUGUGGGGUGCUCGAGUGGCGAACGGGUGAGUAACGCGUGAGUAACCUGCCCUUGACUUUGGGAUAACUUCAGGAAACUGGGGCUAAUACCGGAUAGGAGCUCCUGCUGCAUGGUGGGGGUUGGAAAGUUUCGGCGGUUGGGGCUGGACUCGCGGCUUAUCAGCUUGUUGGUGGGGUAGUGGCUUACCAAGGCUUUGACGGGUCGCCGGCCUGGGAGGGUGACCGGCGACAUUGGGACUGAGAUACGGCCCAGACACCUACGGGAGGCAGAAGUGGGGAAUAUUGCAGAAUGGGCGGAAGCCUGAUGCAGAAACGCCGCGUGCGGGAUGACGGCCUUCGGGUUGUAAACCGCUUUCGCCGGUGACGAAGCGAGAGUGACGGUAAUGGGUAAAGAAGCACCGGCUAACUACGUG
rnacentral:rRNA from 1 species